rnacentral:sRNA from 1 species
AUUCUGCCCAAGCGGGGAAGGAUGAGAAGCUUCGACCAAGGUUCGACUUGAGCGCCAGCGAGAGAGCGUUGCCGCAGGCAACGACCCGAAGGGCGAAGGGCGAAGCGCGCAGCGCUGAGUAAUCCUUCCCCCACCACCA